rnacentral:rRNA from 1 species
GACGAACGCUGGCGGCGUGCUUAACACAUGCAAGUCGAACGGAAAGGCCCCUUUGGGGGUACUCGAGUGGCGAACGGGUGAGUAACACGUGAGUAACCUGCCCUUGACUUCGGGAUAACUUCAGGAAACUGGGGCUAAUACCGGAUAGGAAUCCUUGCUGCAUGGUGGGGGUUGGAAAGCUUCGGCGGUUUUGGAUGGACUCGCGGCUUAUCAGCUUGUUGGUGGGGUAGUGGCUUACCAAGGCUUUGACGGGUAGCCGGCCUGAGAGGGCGACCGGCCACAUUGGGACUGAGAUACGGCCCAGACUCCUACGGGAGGCAGCAGUGGGGAAUAGUGCACAAUGGGCGGAAGCCUGAUGCAGCAACGCCGCGUGCGGGAUGACGGCCUUCGGGUUGGAAACCGCUUUCAGCAGGGGCGAAGCUUGUGGUGACGGUACCUGCAGAAGAAGCACCGGCUAACUACGUG